rnacentral:RNase_P_RNA from 1 species
CGAGCCGGCCGGACGGCCGCGCCGGGAGCCUUCCCGAGAGGCGAGCGGUGAGGAAAGUCCGGACUCCACAGGGCAAGGUGGUGGGUAAUACCCACCCGGGGUGACCCGCGGGACAGUGCCACAGAAAACAGACCGCCGCCGGUUCGCCGGCGGUAAGGGUGAAACGGUGGUGUAAGAGACCACCAGCGUCCGGGGUGACUCGGACGGCUCGGUAAACCCCACUUGGAGCAAGGCCAAGAUCGUCGGGCACUUUUCGGAGAGUCCGGCGUGUGUGAGCGUCCGAGGGCUGCCCGCCCGAGCUCACAGGUAGGCCGCACCGAGGUCGACGGCAACGUCGGCCCCAGAUGGAUGGCCGUCUCACCGGACGCAAUUCCGGUGAACAGAAUCCGGCUUACAGGCCGGCUCGUCGC